AAGCUUCCAAUCUCCCUCAAAGGCUUCCAAUAUUCCAGGCCAUGGAAAUGUUGGAGACCUUUGGAGGGGAUUGAAGGCUU
rnacentral:sRNA from 1 species